UCACUAGGUGGUAUGACACAGUAAAUGACACAUUCUGUCUCCCCUGAAGAGCUGCAGCUCCCUCUACUGGUUAGUGCUUGGAGAUGCUCUAAGGGUUUAGCAAUUGUUUGGGUCGGAGAAGGUGCAGAGUGCUUCUGAGAAGAAUGAAGGGUGUUUGUAAGAUGUGUUUCCUCUAGCGAAAUUUUGUAUUAUCUAUGAUAUAUCUAAGUCUUGUACAGGAAUGUUGAAAAUCUCCAUGUCUCGUUUACUCUUAUAUGCAGCGCACCAAAUAUACUAUAUUUCUAUAUUUGAUAAUAAGAUGAAUACAAGCUAGCUUUCAUUGCAGUUAUCAGCUGGAAUAAGAAGAGGAUAUGUCCUUGUUUACAAGAUCUUAUAUAAAAUAAACAAUUUAGAUACCAAAGUGAACACAACCUGCCUUUUGAAAAGAGUAUGUGCAGACUGUGCUAAUAUUUAGCUUACAUAUUUGACAUAUGUGUAUAAUAAUAAAAAUAAUGUGUUUUUCCAAUAUUCCUUUGUGUGCCUGUUUUUUAUAUUUUAUUUAUGGAUAGGUUUGACCAGGAAUUAGAGUUGUUUGGGUUAGUGGUUUGGUGGUAUGGCUAAAUACGUUAUAUACACAAGUGGUUUUAUGAAAUAAAUAAAAACAUUUCCAAGGCUAUUUUAUAUUCCAUGGAUUACUGCAUAUGUUACCCCAAAAUAAAUUGAUGAAUGAAUAUAUAUAUAAAGGAGCAGCUAAUAUAUUUAAGUGUGUGUUUGUGUGUAUAGAUUAAUAUGACAAAACACCUCUUUGUUAAAAGAUACUUCUGCACACAGGGUUCUACGAAAGGGACUGCUCACAUAUGUAUUCAGCUAACCUUGAUGAAUGUGUGUUUAUUCGUGAGCUAACCAUAGGAAUAUUUAACCUAUAGUUCAUGAUUAUAAAGAUUAUUUGCCUGUCUUGCAGAUAUCUAUUAACUAUCAUACAUGGAAUUCAUUGCUAAUAUGUAGUGCAAAGCAGGGCUUGACUCUGUUGCUAAUUUAGAAAUAACCUGAAGCUGUAAGCAAACAUAAUGAAUUGAGGCGAUGACUUUGGACUGGAUGACCUUGAGAAUCCUACUGUGUUCUCUCAAAAUAUAUGUAUUUCUGUCUUGCUCUUUGUUGGUGAUGUGGAACCCUAAAUAUCCCCUCCCCCCCUCAAACAGAGACACCCAAGUAUUAUCUGCCGUGUCUGUGAUAGAGAGUGUGCAUAUUGUGUUGACUUGCAGGUGAAUAAGGCUGGCGCUAUGUGUGUGUGUAUGUGUGUGUCUAGGACUGAAGCUUUUCCAGAUUAUUGUGUCUAUAAGUUCUGUGUAUAUGGAGGUGUGUGCGUCAGGUACUUGUGUGCCCAAUUCUCCAAAGAUCAUAAAAUGUAUAUAUGUGGCUGUGUCAGAUUUAUGUGUGAUUUAUCGCUAUGUUGGGGGAAGGGGGUUGUAGUGCAAUUUGGGAUGAAAAAUGAAAUUUGUGUGAUAAGAAUGUGAUUCAGCAGCAGCCCAUAAUCAUAUGCGCUUUAAUAAUCUUUAUUUUGCAGGAGUCGGUUUCCAGGGCAACAGAGUGUGAGCCUGCGAUGAGCUCCCUGCUGAACACAGGCGUCUGCAGGCAGGAAUAUCCCGCCAGCUUCUGGUCCUGCACCCAGUGCCCAAAGACCCAUCAGAAUCCAACACAGCUUCAACCAUGUGCUGAGAAUGGCCCUGACCAGUGCAUUACAAGCAUUAGGAGUCCAUUUGAACCGGAGCAUUGAGAUUCCAGCACUCGGAAUUUGGCAUAGCAGGAUAUUCGCUUCUAUACCUCUGUUUUUGAAAAGGAUUCCAAACUACAGGAGCUACAGGAGACCAUCACUGAACUGCAGCAGGAGAUUUCAUUGAAUUACUCAGAGGCAGUGAUCCAUUUGCGCGAAAAGCACUAUUUGGAAAAUCAAGUCAAGGCACAGAGCCAGGCAGUGGGUGGUUUGCAGAAACAGUCGCAAGAGGCAGAGGCAGAGGCAGUGUCCCUCAGAGGGAAAUACAGUAACUCUCAGAUGGAGGGGAGGAAUUACAGGAGCAGGUUAUGGAUCAGGAGCAAAUAAUCCAGGAGUUGCAAAGAGAGAACAGGUCUGCAAUAGACAGCCUGAACAGAUUCAAAGAACAGUCUCUACAAGAGAUUCAAGAGGAAUGAUUAAGGCUUCAAGAACAUUGUCAGCACCUAGAGCAAGAGACGGGCACUCUACUUGCUGAACUGGAAACACAGCGCCUGACACUGACUGAACAGAGCAAUCAGUUGAACCAAAAAGAUCAACAGGCGGAGCAUCAGAUUGCGAGACUUGAGGGUUUUGAGAAAGAAAGUGCAGAUUGCUGAGGAUAAGGUCUUGCAGCAUGAAUCAGAAAUAUGAAGCCUUAGAGAAGAUCUCACAUUGUGUUGAGACCAUUCUAAGGCUGGAGAGAGAGCUGAGUAACAGCAAGGCCCAAAGAGAGGACCUGGAGCAGGAGGUAUCGAGAGAGUGGGAUGAAGAUACAUUUCCAAACCACAACUGUAGAACAACUGCAGGCGCAGGUAUCAGUCAGCUAGUCUGCAAAAGAGAGUGCUUGGGAGAAGAGUUUAAAACUCAAAGAGGAAAGAGAUAUCAUGAGCUCUAUGAUCUGCAAAAGGAGGUGUUCCUGGCUGAGCAACGUAUAAAUGCAGCCCUACAUGAGAAUGAGUCUUUGCUACUUGAUGUCAGUAGGAGGGAUACAGAGCUUCAAGUUCUGAAAGAGCAAUUGCAGACUUCUCAGGAUGCCCUGUAUAAAGCUACACAGGAGAAUGAUGAUUAUAAGCAGGAGGCAGAUAGAAAGGUGGAAGAGAAAGACAAUGAAAUCUCUACAGCGGGAGCUUUCUGAACUACAAGAGGAAUUUGGAUCCUGCAAAGGACGAGUGAGUUUGAGGAGAUUGAAGCGUUUUUGAGAAUUCAGAACUACUGACUAUGGCUGACCAUUAAGAAAUGGAAUCUGAAUGUGCAGAUCUCACGGCUAAAAAUGAAGAGCUGCUGCAAAUGAAAAAUGAGUUUAAUAAAAAAAAUGAAUGCUUUAUACCUCCAGUGGAACCGGAACUGGUUUCCCCUCAAACCACUGCUUGUCGAUAUGGCUACCUUAUUGAUAUAAAGAGUAAGUUUGCUUGAAUUGAUUUUCAAUGUUUUAGUGCAACCAUCCAGGCCUGCAGAUGGUACAGUUAUGUGGCACAAAGAAAAAUGAGUCUCCACUACAGUCUUGUACUCUUUGUAGCCUUUGUGAUUCUAUGUUUUUCAGUUUGUGUGGUUGCCCCUCUUGCAGCAGGCCACAUAUAAUCCCUGCAUGCAGUGUCACCAUAUGGUUCCCCAGAUAUUGCAUGUGUACACUAAAAAAUGCAGACAUUUGGGGGGUUAUUUAUCAAAAUCAAAAUGUAUCUGAUUUUUUAAAUUAAAAAUGUCUGACCAGACUAGAAUCCACGAUUGGACCUUAUUUAUUUUUAUCGAGGAUAAUAUCGAGCAAAAAUCUGGAUCGUAUUUUUUUCUUUCGGAAUUUUUUCUGAAUCGCUCAAUUUUUUCAGACUUUUUCCCAAAAAGUCUGGAUUUAUUAGAUUUUUGCCAGAAAUAGUCAAAUUUUCAGGCUAGUUCCAGCACAGACCACAGAAACUUCCAAAUAGGAUAGGGACCUCUCCUAUUGACUUAUAUGCUGUAUAUACAACCUCGGCAGGUCUGAGAUGGUGGA